ensembl:lncRNA
CUUUCAUUAAAAACGUGAAGAAAAUUUCGGAGCCUUUUGGACUCAGACAUUCGGACUACUUGGGGACUUUGGCCAGUUCUUGAUUCUCAGUUUCCCCACCAUUUUCUGUUCCCCUGAAGUUUUGAAAGGAUACCACCCAAUGGGUAUCUUGAAAGAGGAAUCAGCCGGAAUUCUCUCUUUCAGACCGCUGUCCUCCUCCCUCCAGGGAAGCUUCCUUCACAGAAUAUUGAAACACUCGGGAUGCAGCCUGCUAACAGGACUUCCCUAGUGAUCUAGUGGUAAAGAAUCUGCCUGUCAAUGCAAGAGACAUGGGUUUGAUCCCUGGCCCAGGAAGAUUCCACUUGCUACAGAGCCACUAAGCCUGUGCACCACAACUACUGUGUCCGUGUGCCACAACGGCUGAAGCCUGUGCUCCUAGAGCCCAUGCUCCGCAACAGGA